ACAUCCAUGCUGGUUCUAUAAAUCAACUACUUUUUUUUUUCUGUAAUUCUGCAAAUAUCUCUGGUGAAUUCAUAGUUUUUAAUUUUAUUUUAUAUCUGGAAUUUCUAGUUAUAAGGAGAAAGACCUAGAAUAUUCUAAUUGAGUUACUGAAAUAUUUGUCAUUCCUAUUCAUAUAGUUCAAAAUUAAAAUAAGUAAGAGCAAACAACACUUGUUUUAUGUUCAAAGUGGUAUAUAAACUGGAGUAUUCAAAAACUGCCUGUGUAACAACUACUAAUGGAACAAAAAGCAUUCUAUCACAGAAAGACAGUGAACUGUAUGUAAAAAAGUAAUUAGCCAGCUUUGCAGAUUCCUGUGAUCCCAGCACUUGGGAAGCCGAGGCAGUAAGAUAAUCACAAGUUCAAGGCUGGCUUAGGCGACAUCAUGUGUUGGUUUCAGGACAAUCUGAACUACAGUACGAGACUCUUUUUUGAAAAGAAUGCUGGGUGUAGUGAUGGACAUCUUUAAUCACAGUAUCGAAGAGACCAGGAGCAGGCAGAUCACUAUGAGUUAGAGUCCAUCCUGGUUGCCUAGGGAGUUAGUUAUGGGCCAGCUAAAACUACAUAGCAAGAUUCUGUCUCAAAAAAAAAAAAAAAAGAAAAGAAAAGAAAGAAGAAAAUGAUUAGGUAAAAGCAUAUUAUGCUAAAUGUAUAUAGAGAAAAGGAAAUUAGGAUAAGGAUUAGUUGUUCAAAUUUUGGAAAGCAUGUUAGAUGGGUUUGUUUUGUUUUGAAGGCAGCCUCUUUUUGUAGCUCAGACGAGCAAUAACUCCAGUUACCUGUCUUAGCUUCCUAGACGCUCGAGUAGACCACUGUGUCUUGCUCACAUUUCUGUUUUACACAAGAUGGUUGAAAGAUGACAUUUAGUUUUACUUUUUAUAUGCAUGAGUACUUGCCUUUGCGUAUGAUCCUAUACUAUAUGUGUGCCUGGUGCUUGCAAAGGCUAGAAGAUGGGACUCAGAACUCCUGGAGCUGGAGUUACAGAUGGUUAGGACCUGGCAGGUGGGUACUUGAAAUUGAACUUGGCUCCUCUAAAAGAGCAGCCAGUGCCCUUAACCUCUGAAUAGUCUCUCUAAUCCACUAUUUUGAAAGGAGAGAGUUAGAUAAGAAAGAUAGAACCAGAAAGUUCAUGUCUAAUAGUCAAAGGAGUUGGUAGACUAGACCAUUGAGAUAGUAGUGGAGACUGAUGAGAAAUGGGGGGUUGUUGCUAUUUAAAUUCUAUUUAAAGACAAGACUAACAGGUGGUGAUAUGGGACAAAUAAAUUUUAAAAACACCAUGUUUCUUUAUGAUAUUCUAGAAGAUUGAUGACAUACCUUACACAUCUAUCAUUGUGCUGUGUGAGUGUACAUAUACAUACAUACAUGUCUUUGUGAGUUACUUAGUUGGAGGGGAGAAUGGCUCUAUGACAUCUUUAAAAUUGUUUGUAUAGAAACUUAACACUUAAAAUUAAUUGCUCCUAAAAAUGUGGUGGGUUGAAAGUUUUAAAGCAAGUCUAUUCUGUUAAAAAAAUAGUCAUGAUUUUUCAGGUGGAUAUGGCUCUUUUUUUUUUUUCCCUUUUACUCUUACCUAAGUAUUAUUUAUUACUGUGGAUAUUUUUAAAGUCUCAUUUUCCGAGUUGUUCUUUUGGUCCAUUCUUGAAACCGUAUUUGCAGAUGGGAAAUAAACGGUGGAAUUCGUUAGAAGCUCCAGACUCCGUGCUGUUUCCAUGGGAUGUGAAGUCUACUUACAUCAGAUGCCCUUCAUUUUUUGAUAAGCUUGUAAGUACCAGUGUACUGUUUGAUCUUUUAAAGAUGGCUACAAUCUUAAAAAAAGGAGUGGGGAGAGAGAGUUCAGUCUUUUCAAUUUUGUCUUUUUAGACCAAAGAGCCAGCUGCAUCCCAGCCUAUUGAGAAUGCCCAUGUCCUGUUGUAUUUGGGAGACUCUGUCACUACAGAUCAUAUAUCACCCGCUGGAAGUAUUGCUAGGAGUAGUGCUGCUGCUAAGUAUUUGACAAACAGAGGGUAUGUGUGUGUCCAUGUCUCUGGGUGUUACUUUCCUUCUCUUUCUUUGAUUAAGAGGCUUUUCUUCUGGUCAUAGUCCUAUACACAGUAAAUACAUGCUAUCUUAGGGAUCUCCUUGUUCACACGUUUGUCUUUAGCAAGAACUAAGUAGUACCUUGUGACCCCUUUCUUUAUAAUGUUAGGAAUUAGGAAUGUCACUAUUUUUAACUUACUUUAUUCAAACUAACAGGUAAAUGAAGCCUUUAUAAUCUAAAGAAAUAACUGAUUAGAAGCACUAAUCAAUCUUAGUUUGACACACCAAAUGGAGCCUGACCAUUUGGUUCUAACUAGCUUCCCACCAUUAAAUUGUAGCAAAUGUGUGCUUCCUGCGGUAUAAAGUAUGUGUCAGUGAGGCUAGGAUUCAUAUGUAUCAAUAUCAAAGGAGACUGAAAGGAUCAAAUUUGAAUAGCCUGAAUAUAUAGGAGGUAAAUUAUUUUAAAGAUGUUUUACCUGUGUAUGUGUGUAUGCACCUGUGCUUGUUGUGUGUGCACCAUGUGUGUGCUGCCCAUGGAGACAGGAAAAGGAUAUUGAACCCCUUGGAACUGGAGUUGUGAGCUACCUGACAUGGUCUCUAUAAGCUGAAUUCAGGUUCCCUGCAAGAAUAACAAGCCGCUUAAACUACAGAGCCUAGGAGAUAGAAAUUUAAAACUAGAAAGGCAUUUUUUCAUUUUUAUGUCAGAAAUAAACUAUGGAGUUGUUCUCACUAAAGAACUGUUUUGGUAUCAGGAAGUUUAUUUGUUGAUUAACUUUUGGACAUUAUUUGCUGCUUGCCCAAUCAAAUAUCAAGAGUUUUCAUUGAAAUGCGUUAUAAUAAUUGAAGCUAUGAAGUUUCACUUGACACAAUCAUACUGUAGUUUUUAUUACAGAGUUUCCUCCUAAUACUUUUUACUGCAUUUUUAAAAGAAUAGUCUCAAUUAAUUAAUUAAUUAAUUAAUUUUUUUGAUGUAUGUGAAUAUACUGUUGCUCUCUUCAGUCAGACCCACCAGGAGAGGGCAUCAGAUCCCAUUACAGAUGGUGUGAGCUACCAUGUGGUUGCUGGGAAUUGAACUCAGGACCUCUGAAAGAGCAGUCAGUACUCUUAACCACUGAGUCAUCUCUAGCCCCUUUACUGCAUUUUUAUUUUGUAUGUGUGUGUGUGUAAACAUUCAAGUCAGUUCUCUGCAUGUACCCUGGGAAUCCAUACUCCUGUUGUCAGGUUUGCUGGCAGGCUUGGCAGCAAGUGCCUUGACCUGCUGAGCCAUCUUGCUGGUGUUAUCUCCUAAUAUCUUUUUAGCUAUCAUUUCCAUUCUGGUCAUAAUAGUAAUUAUCCUCCACAGAAAAAAUCAGUUACCGCUUCUUUUAAAUAUAUAGUUUUGUAUUAUUUCUUUUAAUCUAGUAGUUUCAUCACUUUAGAAUUUUCUGAAAAUAUGGACAUCCAGAGUCUAGCUAUACUAGUGUUUCUCAACCUGUGGAUCAUGAGCCCUUUUGGGUUUGAACAACCCUUUCACAGUGGUUACAUAUCAGAUAUUUUCUUUAUGAUUCACAACAGUAGCAAUAUCACAGUUAUAUAAAGUAGCAAAAAAAUAAUUUUAUGGUUGGGGGCUCACCAGAACAUGAAGAACGGUAUUAAACAGUCAUGGAAUUUUAGGAAGGUUGAAAACCACUGGUCUCUAUCAUUCUAUCCUGAAGUAAAAAGUUUUUUUUAGUAUACAACACAUUCAAAGUAUUGAUGCUUCUGUAUAAAAGAUCAAAUGGUGCUGGGCAGUGGUGGUGCACGUCUUUAAUCCCAGCAUUUGGGAGGCUGAGGCAGGCAGAUUUCUGAGUUCGAGGCCAGCCUGAUCUACAAAGUGAGUGCCAGGUCAGCCAGGACAGGAACCCUGUCUCGAAAAA
rnacentral:lncRNA from 1 species